AUGUUGGAGUUGGAAUGCCACCCCCGCUGGGAUCUGGGCGACCACCAUGAGUGCCGCGAGGAUCUCCUUUUCCUCCUUCCUCACCCUCUCUUCUUACCACCCCAUCUCCCUCUCUGCCUCCUACUCUUUCUCCCAGAUCUUGGUGGUGGUGGCAGGAGGCACACACGGUCGACAGGCGGCGCUGCCUUGUCGGCGUCCUCGUCGAUGUCUUCCGCUACGGGGAUUUGGCGGCGUCAAGGGGUGGAGCACUGGCCGCCCCCAUCCGGUGGUGUCAGGCGCUAG
rnacentral:rRNA from 1 species